CCGGUGCCGCAGGCUGCUGCGGGCGUCGCGGCCGGGGGCGGUGCCGCCGAGGGGCGGGCGGAGGGCGGGCCGGGGCGGGGCGCCGUCCUCUCGGCUCCGGGAGGCGGUGCGGGAGGGCGCUGGCCGCGUCCGCCCGCCGAGAGCCUCGGGUCGCGCAGCCUUCCUGAUGUGUCACCAGCACGUGGAGCCAGUUCUAUGGGUUGCUGGCUAUUUUAGGGACUUCAAGUUCAAGUGGAGCCUCCUCUGCACCCCCUGGAGUGCACUUGUGCACAGAAGGCUGCUGCCGGGCCUGGGAAGAUACUCAGUGAAUGGCAGUGUUGACACACUGCCCAGGAGGUCAAGCUUGGCUCUCGACAUGGGGAUGGUGCCUUCUGCCCUUGGUUCUACAAGGAUGACUUUUCCUGACAGUCUUCUCUGGCCUCCCAUCUGGCCAACUCCUGUUGGGAUGGUGGUUCUGAAUUGAAGAGCCUGCAAUCCUUGCCUCUUUUCCAGAAUUUCCCUGUGCUCCAGGCCCCUAAAGCCCAUGGCCAAGGGGUGGGGUUUUUCUAUAAGCCCAGACCCGGUAGCUCCAAGGCUCCUGCCAGGCCUGGGCCACAGUAACUCCUGCAGAGUGCCUCCCUCCCCUGCCAGCUACCUUGGGGUGGACACCCAGCGCUGGCAGGAAGGGCAUUCCAUUUGGCUCAACCCAUGAGGAAUCAAUUAGUGCUUGCUUUCUUUUGACUCUCCUAUCUAACACCAGAGCCUGUGACAUCACAGAAUAGCAGCCUUGGGCUUGAGUGAGGUGGGAUCCAUCCCUGGUGACAUGACUCUUGCAAAGUCUGGGUGUGGGAAAUGUGAUGGCCCAUUUUCCUGAUGAUACCUCUUUCUCCUACGCUGAAUCCCUGGGUUCAGGUGGGGCCAACUCCACCCACUGGCUUUAGAAGCAGACAUCUGAUCCGAGCCUGCACACAGGCUCCUGCAACUCCCCCAGCGACUUCUGCAACAAACAUGGGGAAAGAGCUUUCUCUUUCUGUGGGAGUUGCUAAGUCCACAGGAUAUAAGCUUGGAGCUGCUGAUGGCCAAUCUGUUAUCUAUUUGAGGAUGAAGCCAAUAAAGAGGAAGGAGAACUAAGAUGGAUAGAGUGUGCUGUCCAGACUUGCCACUUCCUGCCCAGUAAAUUCCCGAAUCCAACUCUGCCCCUGGACUACCCUGAUUAUAUGAGCCAGUGCUUUUUAAAUUAUUUUCUUUCUUUUAAAACCAGACUGAGGUGCGUUUCUAUCAUAGAAAGGUUUCGAAUACAGUAAGUGUUUUUAUGUGGUCUUUUUUUUUUUUAAAUCAGCUUUAUUGAGAUGUACUUCUCAUGCAGUCCACCCCUUUUAAGCAUACACAUCCUAAGUUUUAUCAAAUCCACACACCUUUGCAACCACCACAAUCAGAGGUGGAAUAUUUCUUUUUCUUCCCAAAAAAGUUCCAGCUCUCCCUUGAUGGUCCGUCCCUUCAGCCUCAGACAACCACUGAUCUGCUUUCUAGAGAUUGCUUUUGCCUCUUCUAGAAUUUCCUGUAAAGAUGAUCACAUGGUGAGCACUCUGUGUUUGGUUUCUUUUUCUCAGCAUGUUUUCGAGACUCAUCCUUGUUACAUGCAUCAGUAGACCAUUCCUUUUGUUGCUGGGGAAGAUUGCAUCGUGUGGAUGUGCAUCCGUUUGUUCAGCCACUUACCAGAUGAUGCAUAUUUGAGCUGUUUCUAGAUUUUGGCUGUUAUAAAUAAAGUUGUUUCGGACAUUGAUUUAUCAAUCUUUGGUUGUAUGUUUUGAUUUUUAUACAUCAGGCUAGUUUUCCAGUUGAGGCAACGAGUUCAGACAGGUAGGUUGACUUGUACAGCGCCCUAUGGCUGAUACUCCCAAAGCUGGCGCCGUGACGGGGAGGGAGCAGAAGGGAGGGAAUGAGGUGUUCCUUAACGAGGCUCAGGGCUGCUUGGGAAAGGAGCUGUUGGACACCUGGUGCCCAAUACCAUUGUUGCUGGGAGGAACUGUCAAGAUGAGCUGCAGCCUUGGUCCUCACCUCUCUAGACCAGUAUUACAGUGUAUUUGUUUUUCCCCAGGGAUUCCAAAGUUUGAAAGAUAAAGUGUAAAUAGGCUGCAUUCAUGAAGCCAGAAUCUAUUUCCCCAGCAUAUUCAAGAUGUAUCCAGAAUUGUCCAUCAGAGCUCACUGUGAGCUGCGAGCCAAAAGACUUGAGGCCAAGUCAUUCCAGAAAAAAACAAAGAAACCUUUUUUUUGGUGUGUGUGUAUGGGGGCGGGGAACCAGCACAUCACUGACUCUUCCCAGAAGUCUAGAGGACGUCAGGUUGGUUCUCCUGCUCAGUCCCUUGCUCAGAUGGUCCAGCCGGAUCUCCGGCAUGUUCUGUCUGCCUGGGUCAACCCUUGGAGGUCAUGGAGUGUGUGUGAUACCCAGUCCGUGAACCCAUUGAGUCAACUCCCUAAGGACAGAGGUAUCUGUGGACCUUCUGGUUUUGUGAGCCAAUAUUUUCUUUCUUUGAGCCAGAGAGACCUGGUACCACAGCUUUGUUGUGACAUCACCCUUCCAUACCCCUAAGUAACUCCAUGCAAAAUCAGCUGGUGACCAGCCCACUUUCCCUCCUGGGGCCAGAUACUGUACUACAUGCUUUAUGUGUAUUUUCUCAAAUCCUCUCAGCAACCCUAGAGAUAAUGUAUUCCCAGUUUACUCUAAGGGAAACUGAGGCACAGACACGUCACAGAGCUGGCAUGCAGGUGUGUCACAUACUUAUAUUUGGUGUGCCUCCUUGGAGCCUUUCAGCUCCCCCAUCCACCAGACUCUUGGGUACUUCCUGUGCUCUGGCCGAGGACUCCAAGGGGUCCCUGCUGCUUUUUCAGAGUCUCAAUCCCCACUAGCCAUCAGUGCAGAGUAUGGGAUUGGCUCUCAAAUAACUGCCAAAGGGGCUGGAGAAGGCAACCAGCUGUGUGGGGAACUUCAUUCUCUCGGGUGAAUUUUGAGCAAUGGGAGCUGGGAAGGUAAAUUCCUGUCCCUCUUCCUAGGUGUGGUUCUGUGUCACCUUGCAGAGCUUCCCGUCCUUCACCUCCUCACCUCUGUUCCCUUACCCUUGCCAAAGCCUCUGUUUUUAGGCAGUCUAACUCCAGAUCUGCACUAUAGUGCUUUAGCAAUCACUGAACCAGAGGAUGGAUGUGUAGGAAUGCAAAUAAAUGAAUGACCCUCUGAGUCACGUGCUGUUGAAAUGGGGAUGGAGAAGUUAAGGGGAGACAAAAGAUGGUACCAAGUUCAUCAGCCAUUAUUUACUUUUACCCCUCCCCCUCCAUUCAUGAGGUCUAGUCAAUCAAGUGUUCUCUGACCUUCCACUAACUCCUGUCUGGUACAAUGGAAUCGAUACUCCCCAAUGCUCCACACAUGAAGCAUGUGACACUGGCAAGAUAGCCUCUGUGAGCUGGUUUCCCCACCUGUAAACUGGGGAUAAAGAUGGUUUCACCACAUAGGAGUACUGGGAGGCUUAACUUAGUUUUGAGCAUAGCACAUGGACGAAGGGGGUGGUGUUGAGGCUGCCUGUCCAUCAUCACUUUUGCCAAAGACAGCCUGUUCUCUUGGAAGUCAUAAUUCUAAUCUUAGUCGCACUGGGUAGCUGGUGCUGUUCCCUCGUCCCAUCCUCAGGUCACCAUCAGAUCCAGGCUAACACCACACCCUGUGUUCUGACCACAAGAAUUGCCAGCAAUCUGGCCAUGGGACCUAAGUCCAUCCAGCUGUUGGAACAGUACCCCAAGGUUUUGCUGGAAUAAUCAGGAUGGAGGUGCUUGCUCUUUGCUGCGAUCAUGAGCUUGGAGCUACCAGGGGCCAGUUUUACUAUUUGGCCAUUUGAGAAUGAAGUCAGAACAAAGUGGAGCCAAAGAAUUGAGCAGGAUAACGGAGCCCCGAUGACGUCUUUGUACUGUAGUUCCUGGAUCCAGCUAUGCCAGAACCCAAUUAGCCCCUGUUAUAUUUAGGAGUGAAUACAUCCCUUAGCAUUUCCCUUUUUAUUGACUUACACCAGUUCAAGAUGAGUUCCUGUUAUUUAAAAUUGAAGUGGUCCUAAGAUAGUAGAGUCUUUAUAAACAAUUGCUGCUAUUCUUGCAAUUCAUUGUAGACACAUUACGGGUAGAUGUCUACAUGGAAAUGUACAGGCCAGGUUCCCCAGAGGCUGCUCUGCUCCUCAUAUGUGAGACCCUGGAUGAAGGUGGGAGGAAUGAGUAUUCGUCCAUAUGCUCCUGAUACAUUGCAGGUGUCUGGCAUCUGGCAUAUGGCAGGUGAGUAAUAACCAUAUGUUGAAUGAACAAACGAAGUAGGCUUGUUGUCCACUGUCUCCUCCAGUGUGUCCUGCUUUCCAUGGAGGGGGACAGACUUUGUGUUCUGUCUCUUUGCCCUGUUAGUCCUUGACUGACUUCUGAGCCUACUAGAGUGGCUGCUCUAGUAGUCUGUCUUGGCAAAUUGAUGUCCUGUUUUUAUAAUUUCAAAAAUUUCCUAGAAACUUUUCUUUCUAGAACCUCAUUUUUUCCUAUUCCCAUUCAUUUAUUCAAUUUUGUCUUUUUUAAUGUGUGUGUUGUGUGAGGUACCAGGGAGAGAAGCAGAAGGAGACAGAGCUUUGCCUGGCUUCAGGGAGCUUCUGUUUCAGUGGCAUUCAGUAUUCUGACAGUUGGUUCAGUGGGGUUAUUUUAGGCAUUUGGAUAAUUCUCCAGUAUCCUUUUACAGACCAAACAAACUCUAUAAGGAGUGUGUCUUGGUCUUAAGCUAAGCUGGAAUGAAUGCAGUGGGUGGGGGGCCCUGGGCUCACUGUCUGGCAAGCUUUGUACCCAGCUUUCUGAACCAAGCUCAUGCCAGCCGGAACCACUGACUUAUCUCACUGGUGGAGGCUCAGAGAAGUAGUUUCCCCGAGCAGAAAGGGGAUCUGAAUCUGCCUUUGUGCUGUAGCAGGGAGCCCUGGAGGGUCCCCAGAAUGUAUGACACCUGAGUGGACAGUGGAUAAUUAUCUGUAGUCUCCCCCUAGAACUGUGUGAAUAUCCUUGUGGCUCUUCCCGCAUUCUCUCUGGGAUAACAGUGACUCGUUUCCUUGUCCACAUCUGUCAUCUUGAUUGAAGCAGAGCUUCCUGUUGCAGUCAUCUCACAUUUUCUACACCCUGCACUUUGUACCAGGCACUGGCCCCUGGGAAUCUCAGUGCCAUAAGCAUGUGCUGGUUUUGUUCCUCAGCAUCCAUUCUCUCUUUCUUCCAACAGUAGCUCCCCUCUUCCUUGAAGGAUUGCUUUAUCAUUCUAUUUGGUCCUGGAGGGUUUUUUUUUUUUUUGGUUUUUGUUGUUUAUUGCAUGCUAAGUAAGCACUCUACCAUAGAGCUACAUUCCUAGCCCUUUUUAUUUUGAGAACACUGUCUUGCUAAGUUGCCCAGGGAGGUCUCAAACUUCUGAUACUCAGACAUAGACCUCCCCUGUAGCUGGGAUUACAGGUGAGUGCCACCACUCUCGGCUUGACAACCAAGUGGUCACAUGAUUCUAGUGAAGCCAAUCAUAGUUUGGCACACUCUGGGUUGGUCGGAGGGUUGGACAUGUGAGCUCUUCCCUGGAACAUUCUGAAUCUCCCCCACGGAUCAUGUGUUAGCUGAGUAUCUAACUCCAGAGCUGCCAGAGGCUUUGGGCAGGAGCCUGAGAGGAUGAAGUCCUCAAUCUGUCUGCUCAGGUCAGCCCCUCUGCCUUUCUGCCUUGCACAGGGCAGUAGAUUUUCACCCCCUUUUAACCUUUUAAGUAGUAUCAGAAUAAAGCAGGAAUAGGUUAACAAAUCAAAUGGAACAAAAGAACUUAUAAAGGAUAUCACCAGACUCUUCACUUAUUCUUCCUUCUUCCCCCCUACUUUACUCCCAAGGCAAAUUAUCUUACAUAUUUCCUUUUGUGGUUUUAUUCUUCUGAUAGAU
rnacentral:lncRNA from 1 species